rnacentral:rRNA from 1 species
AUGCACGCUGGCGGCGUGCCUAAUACAUGCCAGUCGAGCGAACAGACGAGGAGCUUGCUCCUCUGACGUUAGCGGCGGACGGGUGAGUAACACGUGGAUAACCUACCUAUAAGACUGGGAUAACUUCGGGAAACCGGAGCUAAUACCGGAUAAUAUAUUGAACCGCAUGGUUCAAUAGUGAAAGACGGUCUUGCUGUCACUUAUAGAUGGAUCCGCGCCGCAUUAGCUAGUUGGUAAGGUAACGGCUUACCAAGGCAACGAUGCGUAGCCGACCUGAGAGGGUGAUCGGCCACACUGGAACUGAGACACGGUCCAGACUCCUACGGGAGGCAGCAGUAGGGAAUCUUCCGCAAUGGGCGAAAGCCUGACGGAGCAACGCCGCGUGAGUGAUGAAGGUCUUCGGAUCGUAAAACUCUGUUAUUAGGGAAGAACAAAUGUGUAAGUAACUAUGCACGUCUUGACGGUACCUAAUCAGAAAGCCACGGCUAACUACGUG